rnacentral:lncRNA from 7 species
CCGAGAGUUCGUGCGAUCGGGAACCGAGAGAGAGAGAAAGGGUGCUGCCACCAUAGAAACUUGCCUCCGUGGUCAUGUAGGCCGCUGGGGGGUGGUGAGGAAGCGUCGUCGGGGUCUUCCACACGUUAGGAGUUCGGAGUAGGACGGGAUUCGUCGCCGGGCCGCGGAUCCUCCCCACAUCAACACCAUGUCGUCCUACGGUGUAUCACAAGGUGAUAACCAUCUAAACCGAUUCAUCUUCGUCUCCACACUCUGUAUCGAAGGACAUGCUAAGAGAUAGCGUACCAGAUCAGUAGAAGGCCUUGCGCCGGUGAGGUUUCGCCGUGGUCAAGGCGGCGCCGUCGCCUGGUGGCAUCGGAGGGGGGUACAAGAAGAUGUCAGAGCAUUGAUCCUGAAAGCAACGACUCUGAUUAGAAUCCAAGGUAAUGGUUU